GGUUAAGCGACUAAGCGUACACGGUGGAUGCCCUGGCAGUCAGAGGCGAUGAAGGACGUGCUAAUCUGCGAAAAGCGCCGGCGAGGUGAUAUGAACCUUUGACCCGGCGAUGUCCGAAUGGGGAAACCCAGUGCAAUCCGUUGCACUAUCGUUAACUGAAUACAUAGGUUAACGAGGCGAACCGGGGGAACUGAAACAUCUAAGUACCCCGAGGAAAAGAAAUCAACCGAGAUUCCCCCAGUAGCGGCGAGCGAACGGGGAGCAGCCCGGAGUCUGAAUCAGCUUGUGUGUUAGUGGAACGGUCUGGAAAGUCCGACGGUACAGGGUGAUAGUCCCGUACACGAAAAUGCACAUGCUGUGAACUCGAAGAGUAGGGCGGGACACGUGGUAUCCUGUCUGAAUAUGGGGGGACCAUCCUCCAAGGCUAAAUACUCCUGACUGACCGAUAGUGAACCAGUACCGUGAGGGAAAGGCGAAAAGAACCCCGGCGAGGGGAGUGAAAAAGAACCUGAAACCGUGUACGUACAAGCAGUGGGAGCCUCUUUAUGGGGUGACUGCGUACCUUUUGUAUAAUGGGUCAGCGACUUAUAUUCUGUAGCAAGGUUAACCGUAUAGGGGAGCCGAAGGGAAACCGAGUCUUAACUGGGCGUUAAGUUGCAGGGUAUAGACCCGAAACCCGGUGAUCUAGCCAUGGGCAGGUUGAAGGUUGGGUAACACUAACUGGAGGACCGAACCGACUAAUGUUGAAAAAUUAGCGGAUGACCUGUGGCUGGGGGUGAAAGGCCAAUCAAACCGGGAGAUAGCUGGUUCUCCCCGAAAGCUAUUUAGGUAGCGCCUCGUGAACUCAUCUUCGGGGGUAGAGCACUGUUUCGGCUAGGGGGCCAUCCCGGCUUACCAACCCGAUGCAAACUACGAAUACCGAAGAAUGUUAUCACGGGAGACACACGGCGGGUGCUAACGUCCGUCGUGAAGAGGGAAACAACCCAGACCGCCAGCUAAGGUCCCAAAGUCAUGGUUAAGUGGGAAACGAUGUGGGAAGGCACAGACAGCCAGGAUGUUGGCUUAGAAGCAGCCAUCAUUUAAAGAAAGCGUAAUAGCUCACUGGUCGAGUCGGCCUGCGCGGAAGAUGUAACGGGGCUAAACCAUGCACCGAAGCUGCGGCAGCGACACUAUGUGUUGUUGGGUAGGGGAGCGUUCUGUAAGCCGUUGAAGGUGUGCUGUGAGGCAUGCUGGAGGUAUCAGAAGUGCGAAUGCUGACAUAAGUAACGAUAAAGCGGGUGAAAAGCCCGCUCGCCGGAAGACCAAGGGUUCCUGUCCAACGUUAAUCGGGGCAGGGUGAGUCGACCCCUAAGGCGAGGCCGAAAGGCGUAGUCGAUGGGAAACAGGUUAAUAUUCCUGUACUUGGUGUUACUGCGAAGGGGGGACGGAGAAGGCUAUGUCAGCCGGGCGACGGUUGUCCCGGUUUAAGCAUGUAGGCGGAGGUUCCAGGUAAAUCCGGUACCUUAUUAACGCUGAGGUGUGAUGACGAGGCACUACGGUGCUGAAGUGAUAAAUGCCCUGCUUCCAGGAAAAGCCUCUAAGCAUCAGGUAACACGAAAUCGUACCCCAAACCGACACAGGUGGUCAGGUAGAGAAUACCAAGGCGCUUGAGAGAACUCGGGUGAAGGAACUAGGCAAAAUGGUGCCGUAACUUCGGGAGAAGGCACGCUGAUGUGUAGGUGAAGCCCCUGCGGGCGGAGCUGAAAUCAGUCGAAGAUACCAGCUGGCUGCAACUGUUUAUUAAAAACACAGCACUGUGCAAACACGAAAGUGGACGUAUACGGUGUGACGCCUGCCCGGUGCCGGAAGGUUAAUUGAUGGGGUUAGCGGCAACGCGAAGCUCUUGAUCGAAGCCCCGGUAAACGGCGGCCGUAACUAUAACGGUCCUAAGGUAGCGAAAUUCCUUGUCGGGUAAGUUCCGACCUGCACGAAUGGCGUAAUGAUGGCCAGGCUGUCUCCACCCGAGACUCAGUGAAAUUGAACUCGCUGUGAAGAUGCAGUGUACCCGCGGCAAGACGGAAAGACCCCGUGAACCUUUACUAUAGCUUGACACUGAACACUGGUCCUUGAUGUGUAGGAUAGGUGGGAGGCUUUGAAGCGUGGACGCCAGUCUGCGUGGAGCCAACCUUGAAAUACCACCCUUUAAUGGCUGGUGUUCUAACGUAGACCCGUAAUCCGGGUUGCGGACAGUGUCUGGUGGGUAGUUUGACUGGGGCGGUCUCCUCCCAAAGAGUAACGGAGGAGCACGAAGGUUGGCUAAUCCUGGUCGGACAUCAGGAGGUUAGUGCAAUGGCAUAAGCCAGCUUGACUGCGAGCGUGACGGCGCGAGCAGGUGCGAAAGCAGGUCAUAGUGAUCCGGUGGUUCUGAAUGGAAGGGCCAUCGCUCAACGGAUAAAAGGUACUCCGGGGAUAACAGGCUGAUACCGCCCAAGAGUUCAUAUCGACGGCGGUGUUUGGCACCUCGAUGUCGGCUCAUCACAUCCUGGGGCUGAAGUAGGUCCCAAGGGUAUGGCUGUUCGCCAUUUAAAGUGGUACGCGAGCUGGGUUUAGAACGUCGUGAGACAGUUCGGUCCCUAUCUGCCGUGGGCGCUGGAGAAUUGAGGGGGGCUGCUCCUAGUACGAGAGGACCGGAGUGGACGCAUCACUGGUGUUCGGGUUGUCAUGCCAAUGGCACUGCCCGGUAGCUAAAUGCGGAAGAGAUAAGUGCUGAAAGCAUCUAAGCACGAAACUUGCCCCGAGAUGAGUUCUCCCUGAGACUUUAAGUCUCCUGAAGGAACGUUGAAGACGACGACGUUGAUAGGUCGGGUGUGUAAGCGCAGCGAUGCGUUGAGCUAACCGAUACUAAUGAACCGUGAGGCUUAACCUU
rnacentral:rRNA from 1 species